UAGACGGAGACUACGGUCGAUGUCAGUGUGCCUAAUCAGGCUUCCGAGAAAAUCUUCUAAGCGUUAUAAAGAUAAAGCAACCAGUACCGCAAACCGACACAGGUAGUCAAGGAGAGAAUCCUAAGGUGCUCGAGUGAGUCAUGGUUAAGGAACUCGGCAAAUUAAUCCUGUAACUUCGGGAAAAGGGAUGCCAGCAGCAAUGCUGGUCGCAGAGAAAUGGCCCAGGCGACUGUUUAACAAAAACACAGGGCUACGCGAAAUCGAAAGAUGAAGUAUGUGGCCUGACACCUGCCCGGUGCUGGAAGGUUAAGAGGGGAUGUUAGUCGCAAGGCGAAGCAUUGAAUCGAAGCCCCAGUAAACGGCGGCCGUAACUAUAACGGUCCUAAGGUAGCGAAAUUCCUUGUCGGGUAAGUUCCGACCUGCACGAAUGGUGUAACGAUCUGGGCGCUGUCUCGACCAUGAGCUCGGUGAAAUUGAAGUAGCGGUGAAGAUGCCGCUUACCCGUCACGGGACGGAAAGACCCCAUGCACCUUUACUAUAGUUUUGCAUUGAUAUUGGGUAAAUGAUGUGUAGGAUAGGUGGGAGACUAUGAUGCGGUGCCGCUAGGUAUCGUGGAGUCAACGUUGAAAUACCACCCUUUAUUUACUUGGUGUCUAACGGCGCAACGCGCCAGACAGUGCAUGAUGGGUAGUUUGACUGGGGUGGUCGCCUCCAAAAGAGUAUCGGAGGCUUCUAAAGGUAUGCUCAGUACGCUUGGUAACCGUACGUAGAGUGCAAUAGCAUAAGCAUGCUUGACUGUGAGACCUACAAGUCGAGCAGGGACGAAAGUCGAGUAUAGUGAUCCGGUGGUUCCGCAUGGAAGGGCCAUCGCUCAAAGGAUAAAAGGUACGCUGGGGAUAACAGGCUGAUCUCCCCCAAGAGCUCAUAUCGACGGGGAGGUUUGGCACCUCGAUGUCGGCUCGUCACAUCCUGGGGCUGGAGAAGGUCCCAAGGGUUCGGCUGUUCGCCGAUUAAAGUGGCACGCGAGCUGGGUUCAGAACGUCGUGAGACAGUUCGGUCCCUAUCUGUGAUGGGCGUUGGAAAUUUGAGAGGGCCUGACCUUAGUACGAGAGGACCGGGUUGGACCAACCUCUGGUGUAUCUGUUGUGCCGCCAGGUGCAGUGCAGAGUAGCCACGUUGGGUUAAGAUAAGCGCUGAAAGCAUCUAAGUGCGAAACUUGCCUCAAGAUGAGAUUUCCUUACAGGAUCGUCAGAGACUAUGACGUUGAUAGGCUGCAGGUGUAAAGUCAGUAAUGGCAAAGCCGAGCAGUACUAAUUAUCCAG
rnacentral:rRNA from 1 species